UACGAAGGGUGCAAGCGUUACGCGGAAUUACUGGGCGUAAAGCGUGCGUAGGUGGUUCGUUAAGUCUGAUGUGAAAGCCCUGGGCUCAACCUGGGAAUGGCAUUGGAAACUGGCGACCUAGAGUGCGGUAGAGGGCAGUGGAAUUCCCGGUGUAGCAGUGAAAUGCGUAGAGAUCGGGAGGAACAUCUGUGGCGAAGGCGACUGCCUGGACCAGCACUGACACUGAGGCACGAAAGCGUGGGGAGCAAACAGG
rnacentral:rRNA from 1 species